AGCGAACGCUGGCGGCAGGCUUAACACAUGCAAGUCGAACGGGCAUAGCAAUAUGUCAGUGGCAGACGGGUGGGUAACGCGUGGGAACGUACCUUUUGGUUCGGAACAACACAGGGAAACUUGUGCUAAUACCGGAUAAGCCCUUACGGGGAAAGAUUUAUCGCCGAAAGAUCGGCCCGCGUCUGAUUAGCUAGUUGGUAGGGUAAUGGCCUACCAAGGCGACGAUCAGUAGCUGGUCUGAGAGGAUGAUCAGCCACAUUGGGACUGAGACACGGCCCAAACUCCUACGGGAGGCAGCAGUGGGGAAUAUUGGACAAUGGGCGAAAGCCUGAUCCAGCCAUGCCGCGUGAGUGAUGAAGGCCCUAGGGUUGUAAAGCUCUUUUGUGCGGGAAGAUAAUGACGGUACCGCAAGAAUAAGCCCCGGCUAACUUCGUG
rnacentral:rRNA from 1 species